rnacentral:rRNA from 2 species
CUUAGAGACAGGUGCUGCACGGCUGUCGUCAGCUCGUGUCGUGAGAUGUUGGGUUAAGUCCCGCAACGAGCGCAACCCACGUAUUUAGUUGCUAACGGUUCGGCCGAGCACUCUAAAUAGACUGCCUUCGUAAGGAGGAGGAAGGUGUGGACGACGUCAAGUCAUCAUGGCCCUUAUGCCCAGGGCGACACACGUGCUACAAUGGCAUAUACAAUGAGACGCAAUACCGCGAGGUGGAGCAAAUCUAUAAAAUAUGUCCCAGUUCGGAUUGUUCUCUGCAACUCGAGAGCAUGAAGCCGGAAUCGCUAGUAAUCGUAGAUCAGCCAUGCUACGGUGAAUACGUUCCCGGGUCUUGUACUCACCGCCCGUCACACCAUGGGAGUUGAUUUCACUCGAAGCCGGAAUACUAAACUAGUUACCGUCCACAGUGGAAUCAGCGACUGGGGUGAAGUCGUAACAAGGUAACCGUAGGAGAACCUGCGGUUGGAUCACCUCCUUUCUAG